rnacentral:rRNA from 1 species
GACAGAGGGUGCAAACGUUGUUCGGAAUUACUGGGCGUUAAGCGAGUGUAGGCGGUGUGGUAAGUCGGAUGUGAAAGCCCCGGGCUCAACCCGGGAAGUGCACUCGAUACUGCCACGCUAGAGUAUCGGAGAGGUUGGUGGAAUUCUCGGUGUAGAGGUGAAAUUCGUAGAUAUCGAGAGGAACACCGGUGGCGAAGGCGGGUCUCUGGGCCGUAACUGACGCUGAGGAGCGAAAGCGUGGGGAGCGAACAGG